CUGGGUUUUAAAAAGCGCGCCUAGGCGCGCCUAGGCGCGCGCCUUAAGCGAGGCGCAGGGUGGGGGGGCCUUUUUAGGCAAGGCGCAGGAGCCUACUAGAGGCGCAGCCGAGGCGCAAUAAGGCGCGAAAGGCGCGCCUAGGCGCAGGCUCACUAAGGCGCCGCCUUAUGUAGAAUUAGGGUUAGGGUACAAUUUUAUUUAAAACAGAAAAAUAACACACCAGCCGCGCCUCCUUUCUCCUCUCUUCUCUCUCCUUGCGUCUUCCCCCCUUUGCUCACAUACCGGCGUCGCCAGCAAGCCCCCGCCGCCGCCAGCCGUCCACCGCCGCCGCCGCCAGCCCCAGCCGUCCGCCGCCGGCGCCGCCAGCCUCCAGCACGUAAGGCUUCAGUUUUUGAAGUUCAUUUUUUGAGUUUUAACUUGUAUUUCAGUUUUUGAAGUUUAUUUUGAAUUUCAACUUUCAAAUGCAAUAUUGUAGUUCAGUUUUUGAAGUUGUUUUUGAGUUUUAAUUUUCAAAUUCAACAUUGUAGGUCAGUUUUUUAAGUUGUUUUUUAUAAUUUCAGUUUUGAUUGAUGUUAUAAAUUUAUAAUUGAAUAAAUUUUAUUUUUUUAAUUUCAGUUUUACUCUCAAAAUCUCAAUGUCUUCGGGUAAGUCUCGUGUAUCAUCAUCAACGGGGGAUGAUGAUGAGCGGGAUCCAGCUAGAAAAUAUGGGACACCGAAUCCAAGCAAUCCUUUUGCAUAUUUUAGACUUGCAUAUUUUAAAACUUAAGUAUUUGUGUGUUUUGGAUUAAGUAUUUGUGUGUUUUGGAUUAAGUAUAUGUGUGUUUAAGUACUAUUUGUGGUUUUAAGUUGUGUUUUUGGUAUAAAAUAUAAUGUAGGUAAAUAUAUUAGAAUUUUUUAGGCUUUACUGCGCCUCGCCUACGAAAAGCCCGCGCCUGCGCUUAAAGCCCUGCGCCUAGGCUCCGAGGCAUGUUUGCGCCUCGUGCGCCUCGGGCUUUUUAAAACCCAGA
rnacentral:lncRNA from 1 species